UCCGGAGUUUCUCCGGCAGUCCCCCAUGAGUGCUCGGCACUACCCGGGGGCCCGCACAAGCAGCGGAGCAUGUGGUUUAAUUCGAUGCAACGCGAAGAACCUUACCUGGGCUUGACAUGCACGUGAAAGCCCCUGGAAACAGGGGCCCUCCUUCGGGACACGUGCACAGGUGCUGCACGGCUGUCGUCAGCUCGUGUCGUGAGAUGUUGGGUUAAGUCCCGCAACGAGCGCAACCCUUGCCCUAUGUUGCCAGCGGGUAAUGCCGGGGACUCAUGGGGAACUGCCGGUGAUAAACCGGAGGAAGGUGGGGAUGACGUAUAGGAGCUCGAC
rnacentral:misc_RNA from 1 species